GAUGAACGCUGGCAGAAUGCUUAACACAUCAGCAAUGGAUUGGUGGCGGACGGGUUAGUAACCCGUAAAGAACUUACCUCCCAGCUAGGGACAACUUUUGGAAGCGAAUGUUAAUCCCUACUACUGUGAGAGAGCUUUGCGUCCCAUUAGCUAGUUGGAGAGGUAACUGCUCACCAAGGCGAUGAUGGGUCUCCGGCCUGAGAGGGUGAUCGGCCACAAGGGGACUGAGACACGGCCCUUACUCAUACGGGAGGCAGGAGUGGGGAAUAGUGGACAAUGGACCAAAGUCUGAUCCAGCAAUUCUGUGGGAAAGAUGAAGUUUUCGGAAUGUAAAGUGCUUUCAGUUGGGAAGCGGUACCAACAGAAGAAGUGACGGAUAAAUACGUGCCAGCAGCCGCGGUAAUUC
rnacentral:rRNA from 1 species